GAGUAGAGGCCUAAAGGGCACUGUGCAUUUUUGCUAUUUAAAGGAAUCACAAAUGACCAUAAUUAAGUGAGCAAAAAUGACAAGUUUUACUAGAUAAGUAGACAAAUAAAUCUCAAAUGCAGUGCUACAAUUUUCAUUAUCUUCAGCACAUUGUACAUUUCUACAGAACCUGUUAUUAUUCUCACAUGCUAAGGAUGGUACUUGCAUAUGGUGAAUUACUGUUGACAGUUUCCGCAGAAAUCCUAUUUCAGUGGACCAACAUUGUGGCAUGGCAGCAAAUGCCAACAUUUUGUGGCAUAGCAGCAAAUCUACAAGACACCCUGGUUAGUUUUUUGUUUUGUUUUCUUUGUUUUUUCCCCCUUCUCCUGAAUCAGCAGGGAUGGAAGGAGGGUAGGCAAGUUAUGAAUUACUGCUUCUAG
rnacentral:lncRNA from 1 species